GCUUAUUUCUAGGAAACACCCUUACACAUGUACUUACAAACUUAACAGUAAAAUAAAUAUUCUGAAAAGGUUGGUCUGAGUCCAGGAUAAAACAAUAUUUUACUAAAUUUUAUAUCAGAAUUACUAAAGGUUGCUUUUGAUUUUUUUCACUAUAUCUAUAUGCACUAUCUAUUCUAGAAUUACAGAUACUGUUGUAAGGGAACUCAAUCAUGAGAAACAAAGAAGCCACCACUUACAAGGCUGAACUGGGAGGCUCCAAUGUAGCUAGCACAAAGCUUUAUAUAGGCCCAAACCACAUGAAGUGUGAGGAAUUUAUAAUAACAAAAGUGUUACAUAUGCAAAGAAAACCAAAGGAGGACACUUAAACAUAACAAAGGUGUAAAAUAUAAGCAAAAUAAAUCAGAUGAGGACACACAUAUAAUCCAAAGAAGACCUGUGUGGAAAGCCCCCUCUACCCAGCAAGGCACCAAGUUGGCUCUAAGAACAAGGCAUAUUGCUUCGGGUAUAUUGUUUAGACCUACCUAGUCGCCUUACUUCUACACAAAACAUUAUAUAUUUUGUGAUGAAUGAUCACUCAAGAGUAUGGUAACACAGUAUAAUAAUUUGAAAAAUAAUGGGAAAAGCCAUCAGAAAAUGCAAGGAAAGAAACAAAAGAUUCACUAUCUAAGUAGUAUAAUAUUAUGUAGUUAAACACACACACACGAAGAUAGGCUACUGUUGGUUAUCAAUGAGAAUAGUCCCUCAUUUUAAGAACUAAAAUACAAGCACAGUUAAUGCAUAAUCUUUAAUAACAGUUUGUUGAGAUAGAGACAAAUAUAAUUUACCAGCUCAGCCACUUUCCCAGUUCUGUGACCUUGCUGUUCCCCAGUU